UGACAUAAAAGAUCAGUUUGAUAUCAUAAUACAUCAAUUUUUAAUACGCUUUGCGUAUUCAUAUUUCAAAAUUUUCGUGUUUGCCUCAUGAAUCAGAAUCGUCCAUUUUUUUCAACAAACACCAACUGUUAUGACGAAUCCUUCACAUCAUCUGCUCCAACUCAAGUAAACGGCGAAAACGUUAUUUUAUCACAAGAACAGCAACGAAGAGUGUGUGAUACGUUGAACACUUCUAUAGUAGGAAACCCAAAUAUAUUUUCUGAACCAGGCAAUAAUAUGAAUCAAAUAUUAUACGCUCAGAAGCAGUACUAUCCUGGAGGAGUUCUUUUUACCUUUCCUUCUGCACCAACAACGAGUUUUGGGCAACAACAAGGGCAAUCUUUUGGACCAGGAUUAUGUUAUCCAUGUCCACCAGUAUCUUAUCCAACUCCUAUUCAGACCGCACCCAUAUCAACCCCAAUGGACUUCUCAUUUCAGCAACCAGCAUUCCAGCAGCCAAUGCAAUGUGUAAAUACAUUUUUUCCUUCUUCCUUGGAAUAUCAGCAAAUGAAUCAAAAUGCACUGCAGCAACCGUACCAAUACCACAGAGAGCCAUACCAGCUUAAAUUUCAUAAUGAUAGAAGCACUUCCUGUUCGGACAUGUUGAAAGGUGAAACACAAAUACCAUCAUCAAGUCAAAAAGCUGGUGUUAUCUAAGCCUGUAAAACAACCAUCUGGACAUGUAAUAGAUGUCCUUGAUGACAAGCAAAAUGGAAAAAAAGAUAAUAAACCGCGGGUUUCUUUUUCAGAUAAGCCAGUUGAUGAGGGAGCUCAGGUUGAUAACGAGUGCUUUUGUAUUGAUCAAAAAGACAGAAGCAAUUCAAAAAUUGUAGAAAGUGGAGACGAAUCAUCAGCAGAUAAGCCCAAAAAACGAAAACAAAAAAAGAAGAAGCCAAAAAAGCAAGUUAAAUCAUCGUCAGAAACAUCCGUUUCGUCAGCUGAAGACACCAAAGAUCAGAAAAAAACAUCUAAGAAUUCGAGAUGGGGCAAACAUGGAAAAUCUGACACAACAGAAAGUGACUCAAGUGAUUCUGAAAAAGCGCAUACAAAAAGCAAGAAAAAAGGGAAAACCAGAAAGCAGAAAAUCAAAGGAAAAAGUAAGAAUACAAAAGAAGAUAAAACACAAACUGACAGCAGUGAGUUUAUGAAUGGCACUAGUGAGGAAAUGGAUUAUUCCACUGAUGCUGAACACUGUAAAUGUGACUGAAAAUGUUGAUUACUAAAAAACUUUAAUCAAGUAA
rnacentral:misc_RNA from 1 species